CCUACGGGAGGCAGCAGUGAGGAAUAUUGGUCAAUGGGCGAGAUCCUGAACCAGCCAAGCCGCGUGAGGGAUGACGGCCCUAUGGGUUGUAAACCUCUUUUGUCGGAGAACAAAACCCGGGACGUGUCCCGGCCUGCGUGUAUCCGAAGAAAAAGCAUCGGCCAACUCCGUGCCAACAGCCGCGGUAAUACGGAGGAUGAGAGCGUUAUCCGGAUUUGUUGGGGUUAAAGGGUGCGUAGGCGGUCCGGAAGGUCAGCGGUAAAAGUGCGGGGCUCAACCCCGUUGAGCCGUUGAAACUGGCAGACUUGAGUGGGCGAGAAGUAAGCGGAAUGCGCGGUGUAGCGGUGAAAUGCAUAGAUAUCGCGAAGAACUCCGAUUGCGAAGGCAGCGUACCGGCGCCAGACUGACGCUGAGGCACGAAAGCGUGGGGAUCGAACAGGAUUAGAUACCCGGGUAGUC
rnacentral:rRNA from 1 species